GUACAUAUUUCAAAGGCAGAGGUGUUUUCAGUCCGCAGGCAAUCUAGUGACACUCCCCUCAAGAAAAGUUACCCUUUCCGUAACAACAUUUGCCUGUAUUGAAUACUAUAUAGAAAUACUUACAUACCAGCCUCGGGCAGCUCCUUGACUACAGGUAGUGGGAGAAAUGCUGUUUCCAAGUUACUAACGUGAGGGGAGUACGUAGUCAUCUCUGGUAUACCUACCUUAUCUGUGGUUUCGAACGUAAUUUACAAUUAAUUUUUAAAUAAAUGCUCAUGUUUAUAUGGUUUUAUUAACGUAAUCGUACACUAAUAAUGAAUUAUGUCUAAGGAUCUGUUAACCAAGUUAACCUAAAACUCAUUUGAUAAAUCAAACAGUGAGUGCCUUCAUAUUGAAGUACAUUUGUAAGGUAAAAAAUUUAAAUG